CCCAUUACCUCCGUGUUGGAGGCAGGCAUGCUAACCACUUUGCCACGGCGCCAGACAUGCAUAACUUUUGAGUAGAUCCCAAAAUGGGCACUACGGUUGAAUAUAAAUUGGAGACGUUGAAGUAAAUCAGAUCAUUUAAAAAAUAGGAUUGCAAGGCAUUAUUGUUUUUUCGAAACAGAGGAGAAACUAUAAGUUAAUAACCUAAUUGAGUGACAAUGUAAUUAAGUGUUUAAACAUAAAAAAUCUUUUUCGAGAAAUUUUUUAUUUGUGCAAACCUUUCGUUUUUGAAAACUUUACACUUAUGAUUAAAAUGCAUUCUCUUGGCAUAUUUGGACAUGGAGACUUACAAUUUACCUAUUCAAACUGAAACCAAAUAACGAAGGGGCUGAUGCACCAACCUCAUUCAAGGGGCAAGAAAUAAAGACAAAUUGUAGGAAAAUCUAUUCUUCUCAAUGUAAAUUCUGAUGAUGCCUAGCGUAGCUCUUCUAGUCAAGCAAUUCUACUGUUGCUGAAUUGAAUAUUUUUGGCAACAAGGAUUAAUGCUCUUCUUAUACUAAAGUUUUUAAUACAUAAUCACAACACACAUACAAAUAAAUGCAAAAGUCGUUUAUUUUUUAUCCCAAGUCUCUCUGUUUUGUAUUAAACGACACAUGGAGCAGGAUAGAUUGUGAUGUCAUCAAUCAUAAUUGUGAACACAGUCUCUGUGUCGCGUAU